GAGUUGGCAGAAGGGUGCACAGACCUCUGAUGUAAAUUUUUUUGCAGCUUCCUCUGAAUCCAUAAUUUUUUCAAAAUGAAAAGUUUUCCCACUGGAUUUUGGGGUUGUGUUGGUCAUAUACUCAAGUCGUACAUGGAUAACCUCUUUGCUGGGGUGAAUAGGACAUGGUAAUCUGGUAUGCAGUGUCAUCACCGUUAUUCCACUUAUCACCAGUAGUGUCACGGAGUGAAGUACUGGUAAAGAGCAGGCAGUGGAAGACCAAAUAUCUGUGGCAGUUAAGUGACAUUGACAAUGACAGUGAUAAUAAAGAUUUUAGAGUCACCUGGCUUCCUAUGGCCCCAGUGAGCAUAAUUAAGGACAAAGAGAAAAGUUACAAGCAUACAAUUGAAACAGACAUGGAGAACCAGAAGGCCUCUGGGGCAGCUUUGAAGGAAUUCCUCAUCUGCUGUCACAGGGCAGGUAAGAAUGAGGUGCUCGGAUAUGACACAUCCUCCUCAGGAACGUGCCAGGCACUUGGCAGCCAGGUGACUAUACUCAGCCCCUCUCAUCAUGGAGGGUACAGUGCUUUGUCCUCACCUGGGAUAUACACAGGUUUUGGGUCUGGAUUUGCCUUCCUUGAACUCACCGUUUAUGGACUUAUGGAUGGACUUGUCCAUCACCAUAGAAUAACAUCCAACAUCACUUUGAUAGAGAUGUAUUUUUUUUGGUAAAUGAACAUGUGGACCAUGGGCUCAUGGCCACAGACUCCCAGUAAGUUUUACCAUGUGCUCCAUAACGCAGAAGAAGCUGGCUGAUAGUGGAAUGACCUGCUAAAGACUAGUUAUGGCACAAAUUGGAGACAAUAUCUCGGAAAGUGUGGGUGUAGUCCUACAGAUGCUUUAUAUAUCUUAGGCAGGGGCCAAUGUGUGGUACUAUCUCCCAAUGGCUAGAAUGUAUAGACUUGGAAGCUAAGGUGCAGAGAUGGGGGUAUUCCCUCUUACCAUUAUACCCAGUAACCCACUUGAAGGAUUUUUAUUCCCCUUCUCUGUGACCUUGACCUCACUCUUUUUGGAAGUCCAAGUGCCCAAGGGAAGAACACAUAUGUCAGGGGAAAAGGACAUGAUUCUAAUGAAUUAGAAGCUGAAAGUGCCCUCUCACCUUUUGGGGUUCCUCAUGCUCUGGACCAACAGGCAGGGAAAGGGAUGGCUGGUCUUGCGUGCCAAGGAAAAACUUAGUUGCUGCUAUGCAGUGGGGGCAAGAGAAGGGCUAUAUAUUUGGAACACAGGCGUUUCAUGGGAGUGCUUCCUAUGACUCUCUUGCCUAGUAGCCUUGGUCAGUGGGAAACUGGCAAAAUGAUAAACACAAGACCAGCAAGGACUCUGCAGCCUUCCUGUUGCAGAGAAUCAGCAGAGGAUGAAGUAAGUAGUGGAAAAAUAAACUGUGAUUAUUAACAUAGGCCUUGUUACCAGAUACAGAGGUGGAGACUCUAGCAUCCAUGUUAUAUGAGUCUUUUUUUUAAAAAGGCUUCUUUUUCCUCCAUUAUUUUAUACACUGGGUAUUAACAAAUUAAGGAUGUAUCCACUUCUAGAACCACUAAGGGACUUUUAUUAGUAAAGAUUGAUCUCGGAGCCUAGGCUUGAAGGGGAUUGCCUUGCAGGAGAAAGUGUUCUCACAUAUUAGGGAUACCAAUAGAAUCUGAUUUCUGGAUCAGAUAUCAGGCAAUGUUUGCGCAAGAGACAAGAGCAUCUGUGAAGUAUGGUGACUGGGUAGGAAGCACCAUAGUGUACUUGGUUCUGUUGUUUUGAUAGGACAUUUGGCUCAGUUCUGCUUUUCUCAAGAGCUUCCUCAGCUGACUUUAUUUUAAAAAAAGCCCUUAGGAAGGGUAAGGAUUUGACAGGAUGAGGGAGUUAAGUGGGUCCCUGGGUUUGGAGGAGCCUGGUUAAUAGAGAAUGUUGUGGAAAGACAGAGUUCUACAGAAAUCACAGGGUUUGAGCCUUGAAAACCGGUCAUCACUCUGGGCAGCCUUCAUCUCAAAGCUGAUUCUCCCCAGGCUCUUCUGUGUCUGCUUCUGCAACACAUUUUUUUCUUGUUGGUCAAGAUUAUGUUCCAUGUAGCAGGUGGUCUUUUUCAGUUCAUCUUCUGAGAAAUGGAAUCCUCCCUAAGGUAGGUCGAGAUGCUACUAGACGUGUGUCCUUUAACUAGUGUAACUUCCCCCAAAAGUCCAGAGGGGGGGUCUCUCAUCACCAGAAUAAUCACCUCCACUAAUCGUUCUUCAUUUUCCCCUCUCCUAUAAUCCUCACCCAGAGUCUUUCUUUUGUGGGUCUUGGUGAGGAUUUCCAUGCAGGGGUACAGUGUCUUCAUCUGCAGGACUCUCUCUUCCCUUCUGGUCGUUAUGCUUCUUUGAAUAAGGACUGUCUCUCACCACUUUGUUGUGUUCAUGUAAAUACUUCUACUGUUAAAACAUUAAGCGCUUCUGCUGUGGUCUGCAUGUAGCCCCCGAAAUUCAUAUGCUGAAAUCCUAACCCCUAAAGGUGAUGUUAUUGAGGUGAGGUUUUUAAGUCAUGAAAGUUCCACCUCAUGAAUGGGAUUCACGCUUUUUAAUGAGACUCCAGAGAUAUUCCUUGCCUCUUUCCACCAAAUGAGGACACAAUGGAAAGUCUGCCACCCAGAAAAAGAGACCUUGUUCUUCCAUACUGGCACCCUGAUGUGACUUCCAGCCUCCAGACUGUGGGAAAAAGAUUUCUGUUUAUGAACCUCCCAGUCCUUGUUAUUUUGUUUUAGCAGCCUGGAUGUGCUAGGACAACUUACAAACAUUUUUACAGAUGUUGGAGAUCAUAACUAUUACUUGUGGCUUCAUUUCUAACAUUGUAAUCCUAUGAAAUUAAACAGUAGCUACACAUUCAAAUUGUAAUAAUAAUAAAACAACAAUAGUAAUAACUAGCUCGUGUUUAUUGAAUGCACGCUAUGCACCAGGCAGAUAAAAUAUUUAUAAAGCACUGUCAGAGUUCUCCGGAGACAUAGAACCAAUUUGGAGAUAUAUAUAUGUGUGUGUGUGUAUAUAUAUAUAUGGAAGAUUGGCACUUGCACUUAUGGAGGCUGAGGAGUCCCAGGAUCUGCCAUCUGCAAGCCAGCAGUGGCCCAAAAACAGCAAGCGAUAUAGUUCCAGUCCCAACCCAAAGGCCCAAGAACCAGGAAAGAGUGGGGUCAGGUGGGACUGGAGGUUGCUGAUGGUGUAAGUCCUGAUCUGGCCCAAGAACCAGGAACGCCAGUAUCUAAGGGCAGGAGGAGCGGAUGCCCCAGCUCAAGCAGAGAGCAUAUCUGCCCUUCCUCUGCCUUUUUGUUCUGAUCCGUCUUGUUGGUCCUACAGUGGAUUGGAUGACACCCGCUUGCAUUGGUGAAGGUAGUCUUUACUUAGUCUAAUUCAGAUGUUAAUCUCUUCCAGAAACAACCUCACAGACACCCAGAAAUAAUGGUUUACCAGCUCCCUGGGCAUCUCUUAGCCCAGUCAAGUUGACACAUACAGUUCAUCAUCGCAAGCACUUAUCCCCUGAAGCAGAGGUUUCCUAGAGUAUCCAUUUUACAGACGAGGAAACCAGGGCCCAGGAAAGUAAGGUAAGGUGUCCACGGCUAUACAGCUAGAGGGUAAAGAGAACCAAGGUUUGAAUCUGGGGAGUCUGACUCCAGAGUCAUCCUUUUACACUGCUGCCAUUGUCCUUUUCUUGUCUUACUGGUUUUACAGUUUUGAGCUGAAUAUUAUCUCCCUUACCUCCUCCCCUCUUCCAAAUGCUCUCUUUUCCCAGUUAAAGCCAAUCUCCAGACAAACACAGUCUUCUUAGUCCUUGUGAAACAUAUACCCUCUGGAUUCAAGAAUGUAUUCACCUGGCACUUUAGGUUAUGAGCCAAAGAGCCAAAGUCUGUUCUUUGAUGCUACCUAGGUCAGCGUUUCCUGGUUUUCAGUCUGUGUGAGAAUAACUGGGGAGCUUUACAAAGCCUGAUUCCUGGGCCAUUUGCAGAGAUUUGGAUUCAGUAGCUCUAGAAGUACUGAGAAACCCAUGAUUUCUCCAUUUUACAAGAAGAUUCCAAGGCAGAGGACUUUCGGAUCAAGCACACUUUAAGGAACAUGCCUAAGUCAAAUAGUCACUUCUCUUGGUGUCCUUUCUUUGCCAACGUCUCAGCCUUCAGCCAAUGAAGAAAUACUGAAAAUUCCACCUUUGUUGCCUUCUUAACUCCUAGAAAUAUUCUUUAGGCCUUUUCUGCUGGGUAUCUCUCCAGGUAGCAAAGGGAGUCCUUUGGUGUGGAAGCUGCAGAGAGCAGUAAACUCUCUGGCUCAGCUGGGCCCCAGGACACAGAGCAGGUGCCCCUCAUACCUGCUCCUCUUCAUGGGCAUCACCUCUGCAGAAGACCUCAUUCUGUGCCUCAGCAGAGAGCCAUCCACCACCAGGACCUGCUUCUUCUCUCUCUAAGACUGAUUUCCCACAGGAAAUCUCACAUUUGCUAAGGUUGCUGCAUCCUGGGAUGUUGUAGCUGCUUCCAGAAGAUGAGCGCUUCAUUGUGGAAAAAGGUUAAUUCCUGCUCUUACCCUCCAUCACCUUAGUUUGGAUCUCCUUGGAGGGACACUUUCACUCUCCCUCCUCUCUCCCAGCAUCUGCCACAUCUGCAUGCACAUGCAUGUGUGCAUGUGUGCAUGUGUGUGUGUGUGUGUGUGUGUGUGCGCGCGCGCGCGCGCACGCACAGGCUUUCCUUCAUCCUCAUCCUCUCUGGAGACUCCUUAUCCUUUGGAAUUGACUCAAAGUGAGGACCAUGCAUACAGACCUAGCCACCUCAGCACUUCAGCAGAAGGGCUGCUCCCACUGCCUGCUCAGGAUGGGCUCUUAUGGAGAAUUUCAGACCCCAGAAACCCCAACCCUCCAUUCUGAACACACUCCUUUCUGGAUAUCAGCCAUGCCUGAACAGAUAAAAAUAAAUCAUUUUCUGGAGUUCCUGUUGUGACUCAGAGGAAAUGACUAGUAAUCAUGAGGAUGCAGGUUCGAUCCCUGGCCUUGCUCAGCAGGUUAAGGAUCCUGUGUUGCUGUGGCUGUGGCCUAGGCUGGCAGCUACAGCUCCGAUUCGACCACUAGCCUGGGAAUUUCCAUAUGCCAUGGGUGUGGCCCUAAAAGAACAAAACAAAACAAAAAAUAUUUCUGCUUAUUGGGUGUUUACUAAGUGUUUAUUAUGGCAGAUUCUCAAAAAGGUUCCCUUUCAUGUAAAAUUGAAACCUUCUGACACCACUGAGAGUUUUUCUCCUCAGGGGAAGCAGAUGAGACGACUAGAGUGUGCGCAGGGUCGGUGGUUCUUAGCAAGCUUGGCAGAGAACAUAGAAUUCAUGUGGUGUUUACGCAGUCUCUCUUCUGUUAAAAUCUGUUGCUGCUUUUCUUCAUUCUUUCCAUGUUUUAUUGGAAAAUAGUAUCCAACUUGUCCUUUGGUGUCUCAGUGAGGUUGGAGAGCUGACCCUCCCUUUCUGCCCUAAAGCAAGAAGCCCUUUUCAAUAAUGGUCUGGUGGCAUUGCCAGAGGCUUGGUGCAUUUGUUUCCCAAGGCUGCUCCAACCAGUUGUCACGACUGUGAUGGUUAAAACAACAAAUGUAUUCUUUCACAGUUCUGGAGGCCAGAAGUCCAAGUUCAAGGUGUCAGCAGAGCCACGUUCUCCCUGGAGACUUUGGGGGAGAAUCUGUUUUUGCUUCUUCUAUCUCCUGGUGACAUUCCUUGACUUGUGGCCCUAUCACUUUGAUUUCUGCCUCCAUCUUCACCUGGCCUUCUGUGUGUGCACCUGUCCAAUUUCCCUCUGCCUCCUUCUAAUAAGGAUAUAUGUGAUGGUAUGCAGGACGCACUGGGAUAAUCCAGGAUAAACUUCCCUUCUCAAGAUCAUUGGCUUAAUCACACUUUGCCAUAUAAAGCAAUAUUCUCAGGUUCUGGGGAUUCGGAAUUGAAUAUAUCUCUGUGGAGGCAUUUUU
rnacentral:lncRNA from 1 species